GUGCAGGAUGAAGGCCUUCGGGUUGUAAACUGCUUUUGUACGGAACGAAACGGUGAGCUCUAAUACAGUUUGCUAAUGACGGUACCGUAAGAAUAAGCACCGGCUAACUACGUGCCAGCAGCCGCGGUAAUACGUAGGGUGCGAGCGUUAAUCGGAAUUACUGGGCGUAAAGCGUGCGCAGGCGGUGAUGUAAGACAGAUGUGAAAUGCCCGGGCUCAACCUGGGACCUGCAUUUGUGACUGCAUCGCUAGAGUACGGUAGAGGGGGAUGGAAUUCCGCGUGUAGCAGUGAAAUGCGUAGAUAUGCGGAGGAACACCGAUGGCGAAGGCAAUCCCCUGGACCUGUACUGACGCUCAUGCACGAAAGCGUGGGGAGCAAACAGGAUUAGAUACCCUGGUAGUCCACGCCCUAAACGAUGUCAACUGGUUGUUGGGUCUUCACUGACUCAGUAACGAAGCUAAC
rnacentral:rRNA from 1 species